AGUGAACGCUGGCGGCGUGCUUAACACAUGCAAGUCGAACGAGAACGGGUUAUAGCUUGCUAUAAUUGUCAGCUAAGUGGCGCACGGGUGAGUAAUGUAUAGGUAAUAUGCCUCUUACUAAGGGAUAACAAAUGGAAACGUUUGCUAAUACCUUAUACUCCUUAUUAACAUAAGUUAAUAAGGGAAAGAUUUAUUGGUAAGAGAUUAGCCUGUAUUGUAUCAGUUAGUUGGUGGGGUAAUGGCUUACCAAGACUAUGACACAUAACUGGUUUGAGAGGAUGAUCAGUCACACUGGAACUGAGACACGGUCCAGACUCCUACGGGAGGCAGCAGUGGGGAAUAUUGCACAAUGGACGAAAGUCUGAUGCAGCAACGCCGCGUGGAGGAUGACACAUUUCGGUGCGUAAACUCCUUUUAUAUGAGAAGAUAAUGACGGUAUUAUAUGAAUAAGCACCGGCUAACUCCGUGCCAGCAGCCGCCGUAA
rnacentral:rRNA from 1 species